rnacentral:tRNA from 1 species
ACCCCUGUAGCUCAGCGGAGAGAGCGGCGGCUUCCGAAGCCGACGGGCGCCGGUUCGAAUCCGGCUGGGGGUA